CCUACGGGGGGCGGCAGUGGGGAAUUUUGCGCAAUGGGGGAAACCCUGACGCAGCAACGCCGCGUGGGUGAUGAAGGCCUUCGGGUCGUAAAGCCCUGUCGGGAGGGAAGAAAUGAUUGAGAGCUAAUACCUCUUGGUCUUGACGGUACCUCCGAAGGAAGCACCGGCUAAUUCCGUGCCAGCAGCCCCGGUC
rnacentral:rRNA from 1 species